rnacentral:sRNA from 1 species
GUUUUCUAUCUGUCCUCCCCCCUCCCUGGGAAACAGGUGUGUCUGAACUGGGGCUGGAAGCAGAGCCUGAGAGCUGGAUGACUGGCCUUGGGCCUAUUUCCGGUAGGAAUCAGUGGACUUGGCGGCAGAGGCAGUGCGGAUCCGGCAUUGUCCACUGAGCUUUUCCAGGGCUGUACAGACAUGGCGGCGGCUUUUCGGAAGGCGGCUAAGUCCCAGCAGCGGGAACACAGAGAGCGAAGCCAGCCUGGCUUUCGAAAACAUCUGGGCCUGCUGGAGAAAAAGAAAGAUUACAAACUUCGUGCAGAUGACUACCGUAAAAAACAAGAAUACCUCAGAGCUCUCCGGAAGAAGGCUCUUGAAAAAAAUCCAGAUGAAUUCUACUACAAAAUGACUCGGGUUAAACUCCAGGAUGGAGUACAUAUUAUUAAGGAGACUAAGGAAGAAGUAACCCCAGAACAACUAAAGCUGAUGAGAACUCAGGACGUCAAAUAUAUAGAAAUGAAGAGGGUUGCAGAAGCUAAGAAAAUUGAAAGACUAAAAUCAGAGCUCCAUCUGCUGGAUUUCCAGGGGAAG